AGACUGCUGUGCUAGCAAUCAGCGAGACUCCGUGGGCUAGGACCCUCCGAGCCAGGUGCAGGAUAUAAUCUCAUUGUGCGCCGCUUUUUUAAGUCCGUUGGAAAAGCGCAGUAUUCGGGUGGGAGUGACCCGAUUUUCCAGGUGCCGUCCAUCACCCCUUUCUUUGACUCGGAAAGGGAACUCCCUGACCCCUUGCGCUUCCCGAGUGAGGCAAUGCCUCGCCCUGCUUCGGCUCCGGCACGGUGCGCGCACCCACUGACCUGCGCCCACUGUUUGGCACUCCCUAGCGAGAUGAACCCGAUACCUCAGAUGGAAAUGCAGAAAUCACCUGUCUUCUGCGUCGCUCAGGCUGGGAGCUGUAGAUUGGAGCGGUUCCUAUUCUGCCAUCUUGGCUCCUCCCUAUACUAUCUUCUAGUUUCUUAAGUUGUAAAGGUUCCUUGGAGUCUCAGAAAAACCCAGUGAAUCCAGUCUCAAGUGAACCCAGUGAUGGAGCUCAUUCUAAGGAUUAUGGAGAUAAACCAUGGAAAGGGGUUUCCAGGAGAUGCUGCAAUUGCUGGUCCAGGAAACAUGCUUUAAGAACUGCUGACCUAGGAUGUUGCGGUGCAUUUUCCCAUAAGUAACAAAUACCUAGCAAACAAUACCACUGAAAAUAUUGAAAAUACACUACAUUUACCUCGUUAAGUUCUUUCAUUAUGCUUUUCUCAAGUUUUAUCUCCAUUUCCAGUAAAAUAAUAGCCCCAUUGAAUCAGACUGAAAGUAUUAAUAUUUUAGUUAAUCUUCAGCGUAUUUUGUGCUAUAGCUUCCUAGCUCUGAUCAUGAGAUCAUUUUCAGUUGAGUCCAUGACUGAGAGUAUUUGUCCCAAUACUUACUGCUAUUUGAACAUGAUGAGUCUGUAGAUAGUACUUUAAUUCCUUUGUGUGUCUUUUUUUAAUUAAAAAGGAAAAUCAUAAAUACCCAGACUUUUUCAAAAAUUCAAAUAUUCUCCAAAAGAGGUGAUUUAAACCAGAAGAAAGGACAACGGCAGACCUCUGUUACUUAGUUUCCCACCCAUGUAUGAGGAGCACAUAUGUUGUGAAUUAAGUUAUUUUCAGAAUAUUUCACUUUUUCACACUUCAGGGAGGCCAUAUAUAUUUUAAUAAAUCUCCAGACAAACUAUGGUAAUUCUCUCUGAAGAUGAACUUACCACAGUAAUAGAAAUUAUAAAUAAAAAUUUUUUUGAUGAUGAAAGAAAAUGAUAUAUACCUGAGACUACACCAGGUGGAAUAGGAACACCUAGAAG
rnacentral:lncRNA from 10 species